GCUUUGCUGACGAGUGGCGGACGGGUGAGUAAUGUCUGGGAAACUGCCUGAUGGAGGGGGAUAACUACUGGAAACGGUAGCUAAUACCGCAUAACGUCGCAAGACCAAAGAGGGGGACCUUCGGGCCUCUUGCCAUCGGAUGUGCCCAGAUGGGAUUAGCUAGUAGGUGGGGUAACGGCUCACCUAGGCGACGAUCCCUAGCUGGUCUGAGAGGAUGACCAGCCACACUGGAACUGAGACACGGUCCAGACUCCUACGGGAGGCAGCAGUGGGGAAUAUUGCACAAUGGGCGCAAGCCUGAUGCAGCCAUGCCGCGUGUAUGAAGAAGGCCUUCGGGUUGUAAAGUACUUUCAGCGGGGAGGAAGGCGAUAAGGUUAAUAACCUUGUCGAUUGACGUUACCCGCAGAAGAAGCACCGGCUAACUCCGUGCCAGCGGCCGCGGUAAUACGGAGGGUGCAAGCGUUAAUCGGAAUUACUGGGCGUAAAGCGCACGCAGGCGGUCUGUCAAGUCGGAUGUGAAAUCCCCGGGCUCAACCUGGGAACUGCAUUCGAAACUGGCAGGCUAGAGUCUUGUAGAGGGGGGUAGAAUUCCAGGUGUAGCGGUGAAAUGCGUAGAGAUCUGGAGGAAUACCGGUGGCGAAGGCGGCCCCCUGGACAAAGACUGACGCUCAGGUGCGAAAGCGUGGGGAGCAAACAGGAUUAGAUACCCUGGUAGUCCACGCCGUAAACGAUGUCGACUUGGAGGUUGUGCCCUUGAGGCGUGGCUUCCGGAGCUAACGCGUUAAGUCGACCGCCUGGGG
rnacentral:rRNA from 1 species